AAUCGGCUUAGUCGAAUAAAGUUCUAGAUAGAAUAGUGAUUAUGACAAUUUUCUAUCUAAAUGUCUUGACCAAGUCACGUGCCAGCAGUCGCGGUAAUACGUGGAAGACUAGUGUUAUUCAUCUUUAAUAGGUUUAAAGGGUACCUAGACGGUAUUUCUAGCCCCAAAAGGGUACGGAUUUACUAGAGUUUUAUGUGAGAGGCAAAUAUUAGUACUAUUGGUGUAGAGAUGAAAUUCUUUGAUACUACUAGGACUGGUGGCGGCGAAAGCAACCCUCUAAGUAUAAACUGACGUUGAGGGACGAAGGCUUGGGUAGCGAAUAGGAUUAGAUACCCUAGUAGUCCAGGCAGAAAAUUAUGAGUGCCAUAGACUAGAUUAAAUAAUUUUGGUCUAUAAAUGAAAGUGUAAGCAUUCCACCUCAAGAGUAAUGUGGCAACGCAGGAACUGAAAUCAUUAGACCGUUUCUGAAACCAGUAGUGAAGUAUGUUAUUUAAUUCGAUAACCCUCGAAAAACCUUACCACAAUUUGAAUGUAAUACAUGAAAUAGUCUAAUAAUUGUAUAGUCAACAAUUCUAUGACAUGAAGUAGUCUAAUAAUUGUCUACUCAACUAUUUCAUGUAUUAACACAAGCGUUGCACGGCUGUCUUCAGUUAAUGUCGUGAGAACUUGGUUAGAUCCAUUAAAUUAACGUAAUCCCUUUCGUUAGUUCUCUGAACUAAUGAAGUUCACCGCUAUAU
rnacentral:rRNA from 1 species